AGAGUUUGAUCAUGGCUCAGAACGAACGCUGGCGGCGUGCUUAACACAUGCAAGUCGCACGAGAACGUUUCAGCUUGCUGAAGCUAGUAAAGUGGCGCACGGGUGAGUAACGCGUGGGUAAUCUUCCCUCGAAUUGGGGAUAACAUUGCGAAAGCGAUGCUAAUACCGGAUAACAUCUUAAGUACCUCGGUGUUUAAGAUCAAAGGUGGCCUCUACAUGUAAGCUACUGUUUGGGGAUGAGCCCGCGUACCAUUAGCUUGUUGGUAGGGUAAAGGCCUACCAAGGCGACGAUGGUUAGCUGGUCUGAGAGGAUGAUCAGCCACACUGGAACUGACACACGGUCCAGACUCCUACGGGAGGCAGCAGUGAGGAAUUUUGCGCAAUGGGGGAAACCCUGACGCAGCAACGCCGCGUGAGUGAUGAAGGCUUUCGGGUCGUAAAGCUCUGUCAAGUGGGAAGAACCCACAUGGUGCUAAUAUCGCCAUGUGCUGACGGUACCACUGAAGGAAGCACCGGCUAACUCCGUGCCAGCAGCCGCGGUAAUACGGGGGGUGCAAGCGUUAUUCGGAAUUACUGGGCGUAAAGAGCGCGUAGGCGGUCUCUUAAGUCAGGUGUGAAAGCCCGGGGCUCAACCCCGGAAGUGCACUUGAAACUAAGGGACUUGAGUAUGGGAGAGGGAAGUGGAAUUCCUGGUGUAGCGGUGAAAUGCGUAGAUAUCAGGAGGAACACCGGUGGCGAAGGCGACUUCCUGGACCAAUACUGACGCUGAGGCGCGAAGGCGUGGGGAGCAAACAGGAUUAGAUACCCUAGUAGUCC
rnacentral:rRNA from 1 species